UCCUGGUUAACCCAGGCAGUCUCGUUAGAGUUCCCACCAUUACGUGUUGGCAACUAACAAUAAGGGUUGCGCUCGUUGCGGGACUUAACCCAACACCUCACGGCACGAGCUGACGACAGCCAUGCAGCACCUGUGCAGAAGCCCCGAAGGGAACAUACGUUUCUGUAUGCGUCUUCUGCAUGUCAAGCCUGGGUAAGGUUCUUCGCGUUGCAUCGAAUUAAACCACAUGCUCCACUGCUUGUGCGGGUCCCCGUCAAUUCUUUUGAGUUUCACCCUUGCGAGCGUACUCCCCAGGCGGUAUACUUAACGCGUUAGCUACGGCACAAUUGGGGUUGAGUCCAAUUACACCAAGUAUACAUAGUUUAGGGCAAGGACUAC
rnacentral:misc_RNA from 1 species